ensembl:snoRNA small nucleolar RNA U3
AAGACUAUACUUUCAGGGAUCAUUUCUAUAGUCGUUGACUCGGAAAUGCGUUUCUAAAGUGUCGUGUCUCACUGUCCACGAUGAAGAGUCGUGAUGUUCUCCCCGGAGCGCGAAGCCGGCGUGGGGCUGUGGGAACCCACGUGCCUCGUCGCUAUUGAUGACCGUUCCAGGCGUCCUCCGGGACGCGUGGAGGGGGAGAACAUGAUCAGAGUGGCC